UGUGCUCGAAACAUUUCUCUCCGGAAUGUUUUUCAAGAACAUUGACUGGAAUCAGGAAGCUAAAGGAAGGUUCAGUUCCGUCAGUGUUUACCUGGACUCAACAGUCUUACAAAAGGAAAACCUUGCGAUCUUCUACGAAGGAUGGACCAAGCAACGAAGAAUGUCAUGUCACAGAGAUGCCAAACACCAAUCAUGACUACUGUGUGGAGCCCAUGACUACUGAGGAGCAGCUUGUGGCUGCACGGGAGGAAGUUUCUCGUAUGUCUGCGGAAAAUGAAGCACUCAAAAGUCAUCAGUUUGGCAUUCAGAAUUUUAUGGGUAAUCCAAAACUCAUCCAGUUUUACACUGGGUUCCCUGAUUAUGACACUUUAAGAGCCGUUUUCUUGGCUCUACAGCCCACAGCACAGAGCAUGGCCUCAUGGGCUCAAGUGCAAUGAAUUAGUGCAACCAACCAACACACACUGAGGGCUGGAUUCCAGGCACAACAUCUCUCCUUGUUUAAUCAGUUUUUCAUGUUUCUUUGCCGGAUUAGACUGGGCCUUCUUGAACAAGACCUUGCUCUGCGUUUCUAUAUUUUACAAAGUACAGUCAGUCGAAUCUGUGUUACCUGGGCAAAUUAUUUGUACUUCAUGCUGGGGAGUCUGCCUAUAUGGCCAAGUAGAGCUGCAGUUGACGAACUUAUGCAAGAG